GACGAACGCUGGCGGCGCGCUUAACACAUGCAAGUCGAACGGGAAGGCCUGCUUUCCCUUGUGGAUUGCGGGUACUCGAGUGGCGAACGGGUGAGUAACACGUGAGUGAUCUGCCCCCAACUUGGGUAUAAGCCUGGGAAACUGGGUCUAAUUCCCGAUAGGACUGCAGGGUGGUGCCUGUGGUGGAAAACGAUUUUCUAGUGGUUGGGGAUGAGCUCGCGGCCUAUCAGCUUGUUGGUGGGGUAAUGGCCUACCAAGGCGGCGACGGGUAGCCGGCCUGAGAGGGUGGACGGCCACAUUGGGACUGAGAUACGGCCCAGACUCCUACGGGAGGCAGCAGGGGGGAAUAUUGCACAAUGGGCGGAAGCCUGAUGCAGCGACGCCGCGUGGGGGAUGACGGCCUUCGGGUUGUAAACUCCUUUCGACCGCGAGGAAGCCACCUGGUUGGAAGGGUGGUGACGGUAGUGGUAGAAGAAGCACCGGCUAACUACGUG
rnacentral:rRNA from 1 species